rnacentral:rRNA from 1 species
UACGUAGGGUGCGAGCGUUGUCCGGAAUUAUUGGGCGUAAAGGGCUCGUAGGCGGUUUGUCGCGUCGGGAGUGAAAAUCCAGGGCUUAACUCUGGACUGGCUUCCGAUACGGGCAGACUAGAGGUAUGCAGGGGAGAACGGAAUUCCUGGUGUAGCGGUGAAAUGCGCAGAUAUCAGGAGGAACACCGGUGGCGAAGGCGGCCAUCUGGGACAACACUGACGCUGAGGCACGAAAGCGUGGGGAGCAAACAGG